rnacentral:rRNA from 1 species
UACAGAGGUCUCAAGCGUUGUUCGGAAUUACUGGGCGUAAAGCGCACGUAGGCGGACUAUUAAGUCAGGGGUGAAAUCCCGGGGCUCAACCCCGGAACUGCCUUUGAUACUGGUAGUCUCGAGUCCGGAAGAGGUGAGUGGAAUUCCGAGUGUAGAGGUGAAAUUCGUAGAUAUUCGGAGGAACACCAGUGGCGAAGGCGGCUCACUGGUCCGGUACUGACGCUGAGGUGCGAAAGCGUGGGGAGCAAACAGG